rnacentral:lncRNA from 15 species
GACGUUGUAGCAAACGAGUUGUUCGACCCACGUUUGAAGCCUUCGGUGAAUGAACCGAGUUCAGCCACAAAACGUUUCUUCAGCGAGUGUAACUCUCCUGUGAUCCGUCUACCGACACAACUGGAGACACUGUGACCAUCGAAAAUUUAGACUCCCUCAGUGGGAAAUGGUGCUGAACAACCUCUCCCCUCACACUGGAGGAACAGGCAAACUUCCUCUCUGGAGAAUUGGGCAGUGAUGAGGCCCUUCAUGGUGAACAAUAUGCUGUCAUCUGAGAAGCCCAAGGAGGGGGUUUCCCAUCAUUGUGGACACAAGGCUGCAGUAGUGAUGUGUAGGGACUGUUUACCGUGAUCACUCUACUGCACAGCCUGUGACCUUUCCACACAUGAGGCCCUGGUGCUUCAUAACAGAGCAUCCAUGGUGGAGGGAUUUCUCCAGACACCUGCCGCCAUCCACUUUUGUUCAGCAGCAUUAGGGAGGGAAAUUCUCCUAUCAUGAAAAAGGUCGUUUUUCAGUCUCAGGUUAUAUAGGUAUAUAGUUUUACAUUUUACACAUACCCUGGUUUACUCCAACAAACAUGCUGGAUGAAGUUUUGUUGGAUAGAAACAACACCCUCACUGUUGAGUUUUUGGUUUCAUUUACUCUAAUGUGUAAACUAAUUCUGCUUUUUAGAUUGCAUGUUACCAAUCCUCCCUGCUGCGACUGCUCCACCGGGCAAACAAGCUUUUCCAAGGGAAAGCCAGUUAUUUUAAUUGGAAUGAAUGGAAGAUACCACCUCUUCCUUCCAUCAGUAAACUGCUCCUGUGGGAAAACCUUGCCAGUGACCAUACGUGAUCUGGUUGAAAGUGGUUACUGGCCAGCCACUGUCAAUUUUAAGACCUUGUACAUGGUGGACUUGUUCACCACGUAUGCGGACCUAAAAAUCACUGCCCCAGGGAUGUCGAGACAAGCUUUUGUCAGCAUGCUCUAGUGUUGAACAAAACUCUUCGGGCGAGUGAGUGGAUUCAUCAUUUAAGUUAUCUUGUUUGGAUCACCUUUUAAAUAACUGAUUCAUUGUUAGGACUUGUUCUUACAAUCCCCAAAGUUUCAGCACACAUUUCCUCACAGAGCCCUUCUUUGGUCAUGACCACGGUCUGAAGCCAACCUUCAACACAUUGUCAGUUGUGUACUAACUGCAGGGUUACUUACUGUUUUGUUUUGUUUUGUUUUUUCACUUUUGCUCUCAGAGUGGUAAGAUAUGUGGGGAUACGAUGCAGAGGGCCUUCCUCGAAUGGGCCUAUGCCAAAUUUGAGGUUGACAAGCUGUCUCAGGUCCAGCAUUUUCAGUGCCCUGCAUGCACACCCUCCAUGUUGGCAGUUGCAGUGGAUGGGAACCGCAAAUUAUAUCAUUUCGAAAGCCAACCAGGGUGUGUAACAUUCAUGUACAAUGAAAUGCUAGUGAGUCACAAAUUACUUUUAUACUGUUAAUGUAACCCACAUCUAUAUAUUUCUUUCAAGACCUGAUGGGUUUUUUGAUGUAGUCUUUUUGAUACUGAGGUGUCCUCCUUUGUUGAUUACAUCCAUGGAACAACUGGACAUGUAAGCUAAAUUUAUAUUUCUUCAUGUGUAACACCACAAUUUAAAUUUUUUAUGAAUGCUUGCCAGUUUUUUCAAAAUGUAAACAUUAUUUGGUUUAUUUAAGUAAUAGAGUGGCAUUACUGCAUCAAAUGCCAUAAUACCAUGAUUUACAGCUCAUUUUGUAAAAUUGAACUGUGUAAAUGUCUGUAUUUGCCCUCAUCUGUUUAAGAAUCCAGGGAAAGGGAGAUGUGGUGUGGGUCAGUGGACCACAGCACGAGAGUCCGCCAACAAGUCUGCAAGCAAACUAGAUGAGAUAGGUGUUGAAGUUGCUGUCUGCCGUCAUGGGGUUUUGCUGAAGGGACUGAAUAUGUUCCGUUGAGAAAUAUUUGCAUACCCAUUGUAUCUCCAGUAACAGCUAGCUUCACAGACCGUCCAGUUUUUUUUUUUUUGCUCUGAUGUGGUCUGCAAAUAUUGGCCAUAUCUGCAGAGAGUUGUGGACCACUGUCCAGAGUUGGAGGACUUGCUGAACAUGCGCCUAUUUCUCUCCAUCAUGCAUGCAAAAGCGCAUUCAUAGAUGUGUGAGGCAAUAAUGACAAUUAGAUGUAUUUCUUAUCAUUUGUACCACACAUUAUGAUUGUCUGUCCUCUGCUCCUACUUUUUGUUUUCCAAAUGAUAACAUUCAUGUUAAUGUGUUAUAGUUAGAAUGGGGGAGACGCAAUCAAGAAGGAGCUGGAACAACAAUCGGGGAGGAGGUUGAACAGGUUAACAGCCUCUCCUCCCGAGCAGCCAUAUGUUCCAAGUACAUGUCAAAAGCCGGUAAGCAUUUUUCAUGUAUAGUUGUGUCCAAAUUGAGACCACAAGCCAACAUAUUUUUUGUUUGUUUUGAAUGUAGCGCUGUUUUUUAUUGUCUUUUGUCUUCAAGUGGUACUGUCAGAUCUUUGAGGUGUGAUUGGGGUCGUUAUCAUGCUGCAGUAUGAAUCCUUCUCCACAUAAACCAAACCAGAAGGUGUAGCACCUCUCUACAAUAGAGUGCUUCCUCGUGGUGAGGUGGAGUCAAAUCUCUGCAGGUGUCCAACUCCAGAGAAAACUAACAGCACUAAAUUACUGCACAUAUGUAAAGUUCGCGAAGACAUGCUUACAAUCCAUCCAAGUGGCUGGAACAAGCGAAGGCAGAACACCUUGACCGGACACUGGCCAAAAGAUACAUCAAGGUACUAACUAAGCAAAUAUGUAUAAUAACAUUUUUGUUUUUAAAUUGUGUCUCAGCAUUUGUUUAUACAGAUAUUUCUUUCGGACGGACUGUACAAAGGAUUACAGCGGCAACAAAGGACCUGGAGAAACUCACCGCUGAGUUAUCUCUACAGCAAGACACAGUCCAGCAGUGGGUGGACCUCAGGUACUUUGAAAAAAUUAUUUGAUGGCAUAUUUUAAAGAAUCAUUUGGCUCUGUUCUUGUACAGGGGAUCUGAAAAGAGGCUGAUUGUAAACUGAGGUGGGCAUGAAUUAAUUUGAUGGUUGUCGUCCAAAGGAGCAACAAUCCAAAAUGACCUGCAGAGGACCAUCGAGGGGCUACAUUUGGGCAUCAAACAGCGAAAAUUUCAGCUGUAUCGUCAGUCUGGUGAGAGCAGAAAAGGCCACUAGUAAUGCAGAUUUGUGAAAAAAUGUAUUCACUACUGAUUUAUACAUAGUAAAAAUAGCAACGCCAUUUAUUUAAAAAAAACCAACAUCUUUUGAAGUAGGUUUACUACAAGUCUGUUGAGAAGAAAGCCUUGGAAGUUGCCAUCAAUGACCACAAUGCUUCUUGAUGUACAUAUGGAAUCUGAUGUAAAAAAUUAUAAGACACUGGGCAAUAUGCAAAAAAAAGAAUGCAGUAAUUUGUAAAUGGAUGAGAUAGAACCCCUUCGUGAAGCACUGGGGUUCUAUCUCAUCCUGUCAGGGUUUAUUUCUCUAUUGUAGUAGUACACUCACAGCAGUAAGCAGUUUAGGGCAGGGUUGUGUAUGAGUGGGUUCGCUGUAGGUGGAUAAAUAGGACAAAGUAUGAUCAUGAGAUUAUCACCUGUUACUAAUGAACAUGUUUACUAGUGGAAUGAUCCGAACAGGUGGUUUGGAGUUUUCAACAAAUUUCCCUCUCUUUUGUUCGCCAGCUUGUUUGAAAUUUGCUGCUGCCAUCAAAAUCAUAAAAAGCAAAUGUUCCCAAAAUUGAUGACGUGGAAAGGGUCAAGCAUGCAAAAUAUCUUCUGUCCCAAUAUUUUUAUAGGAGGUUGUAAGAUAACACUUUGAUGUAAUGUAUUGCAGGUCAUGGUGAUAUGGAGCGGGAAAAAAAUGUUUUUGACAAGGUAAUGCUGCUGGCUAUACUGAAAGAGGAAGAAGUUAUUGUGGUUCGCAAAGUCAAGCAGCACAUGGAGUACAUGAGGAGUGUUGCUGGACUGACUGAAGAGCUUUUUUUUAAUGCAAUGACUGGGUGUCUAUGUAUGCUGCUAAUGAUGCUAUAUGUUUCUACUUAUUUUUUUAGGUAACACUAGCACUUAAAUUAAUUAUUUAUUAUUAUUUUUCUAUGAAUGAUGCACUGACUGGAGAGCACUUUAAAUUUUGUUGUACCUGUGACAAUGACAAUAAAGAUCUAUUGAUUCAUAUUCAAGGUGUCUUCACAGUGUGUUGAACCCAAACGUCAGUGCUGUAAUAACUUGUAUGUGAAACCUGAGGCUAUUUUACUGCUGUUGUAAGAUUUCUUUGUGUUUAUAGCAUGUACGGCACAUUCCUCUGAAACUGUAAAAACCCAUUAUGUUAGUCCAUUAGCCCCCACCCUCUGCCCAGCAUUACAUUUUUGGUCGAAAUGUAUUGUGCAUCCCUACAUAGCUUCACUGUAGUUGUGUAUAGUUUGUAUAUACUGUACCUACUGUAGUUUACAUAGCCUAUUGUAUUGUAUGCUAUUCCAGCUUGUUUCCACAUGUUAGUAUAUUAAUUCUCUCUCUCUCUCUCUCACUCACUCACACAGGCAUACAGCUUCUCUAUCUGAAGAUAUAUAUAUAUUUUUUUAUAUAUCUUUAUUUUGAACAGGACAUAGUCUCUUAGCUCUAGAAAGCCUACUUUAUUAAUUUCACCCAGUAAAGUGAACCGUUGUUUCAACUAUAGUCAUGUCUCUUUUGUUUGUUUUAUCAAUAGUUUUCAUUUAAGGCAGUUUCCUGUUUUAUCCCAUUGUGUGAGUGGUUCCUUUCAGGUAAGUCUGUAGUAAGCAUUAGGCCUAUAUUCUAAGGCAGGGGUCAUCAACUGCACUUGUCCAAUGGCCAGAAUUUUUUUCACUAUCAGGGCCAGGUGCGCUUGUAAAAUUAAAAUGAAUAUUGUAUCCUAAGUAGUACCUAUAUUAUUAUUUCAUAUAUCAAUUUGCCUUUGAAAUGUAUGUUAUUUUUAGCCUUUGUCAGUGUUAACAGACUCAUAUUACCUGUAAGAUAGCAAGCAAUAUUUUAGGCUUCAUAUUCAUGAGGCUGUCAACUGCUAACGCGGGGAAGGUGAUUGCCGCUGGACGAGGCGGCCAAUCACAGCGAACUGAUUGACAUCCAGGCCGCUGGGGACAUGAAGGCUGCUCUCAGUGGUGCUGAAAGCUUGAGCGCCUUUUGGGUGGCUUGUCCCCAAAAGUAUGACACACUGAAGACAUUGGCCAUUCAUGUGCUCACCAUGUUCGGAUCAACACACAUUGACAUAACAUAACAGCUGUCAAGCCCGAUGUUAAAAAGAUAGUGUCGGAGGGGAAAUGUCACUUCUCUCGCAAAUUGUGUGAUUGUUACAUUUUUGCCUAUGUUUUGUUUUGUGUCUCAAUCAUGUGACUCUCGAGGUUCCUGUCGGGAAAACAAAAACGGGGAACAUUAAGUGGAAAAUUAAAUAUCUCUUGUCUUAAAGAUAUUUGUGU